rnacentral:rRNA from 1 species
UACGUAGGGGGCAAGCGUUGUCCGGAAUCAUUGGGCGUAAAGAGCGUGUAGGCGGCCAGACAGGUCCGUUGUGAAAACUAGAGGCUUAACCUCUAGACGUCGAUGGAAACCGUCUGGCUAGAGUCCGGAAGAGGAGAAUGGAAUUCCUGGUGUAGCGGUGAAAUGCGCAGAUAUCAGGAAGAACACCCGUGGCUAAGGCGGUUCUCUGGGACGGUACUGACGCUGAGACGCGAAAGCGUGGGGAGCGAACAGG